CGUUUGUCGUGCACUUUUGAUUUUUCAAACUUUGCAGACUUUUUACAAUCACAAACAGCUCUAACACACACUACAGUACAUGAAAGGUAAUGUUUGAAAACCCAUAAUAUGUGCACUUUAAAAUAACAUUUCAGUCAAAAACACAAUGUUGCAUUGAUCCUAACGUCCCACAAACCUCAAAACGUUUGCUCUUUUUAAUUCACAUCACUUGCAGCUUAAAUAAACUUAGAUAUUCUGUAUUAUUAAAGCAUGCAACAUAUAAAUAAUUAAAACUCCAGUCAGCAAUAACAAAAUAAGAAAACUUUUGUAUUAAUUCAAGGUUCUGUAUUUUAUUAAAUCAUCUUUAAUAUUAACAAAAUAAAAAGUUUCAAAAUAUAACAACCCUCAAAAGUGUUUCAUUUCUUACAUACAGUAGAUCUAUAGUGUGUGUCGUCUGCUCUGCUCCUACAAGUGACACCUUUUAGAAAUUGCACAUUAAACCCACAUACAAUAAAAGAGACAUUCAAGUCCUCACAAAUAAUUCAAACUGUAAUCCUAUUUUCAUAUUCUUAUCCAAAAAUCAUCUAUUGUACAGGCAACAGUGUGUACAUUUGUAUAUAUCUCUUUUCUAUCCAUGUAAUAGUGUGUUACGAUUUUACCGAUUAAGACAAAAUGGUUUAUCCAUAAUAUUCGUGGCAGAAUCUUAAAUUAUUAUAAAUUAUAAAUUACUUGUCAGCUGGGUUUUUUCUCCGGGCUUUGCCUAAAUGGGUUCAAUUAAAUGUUGAAAAAAAAAAUCUACUCAACUGUCUAGACAGAUACAAAUCAACACUGUCAAUCAAGUCCCUGGUGCAUAAUACAUAUAAUGCACCUUGCCACUUGUAGGGAAUAGGAAAUUGAGUAAGGAGUAGUGUGUAGGGAAGAGUAUGUAAAGAAUAGUAGUAGGGAAUGGAGUAACGAGUAGGGAAGAGUAAAUAAGGAAUAUUAAGUUAGGUAUAGUAGUAAGGAAUGGUGAGUAGGGAUUAGUGAGUAAGGAAUAGGGAGUAGGGCAGAGUAAGUAAGGAACAGGAGUGGGGAAUAGUAAGUAAGGAGUAGGGAAUAUUGGUGUGGGAAUAGGGAAUAUUGAGUGGGGAAUAGUGAGUAAGAAGUAGGGCGUGGGAAUAGUGAGUAAGG
ensembl:lncRNA